rnacentral:rRNA from 1 species
UCUUGUGUACAUAUCUACAACAUUAAUGCAACAAAUACCAUCAAAACUCCGCAGUUAAGCACACUUAGGAUAGAGUAGUACUCGGAUGGGUGACCUCCUGAAAAGUCCUAGUUUUUUACAUGUC